rnacentral:lncRNA from 1 species
GUUUGUCAAUCAAAUUGACUGAUGUGUAUGUGUACAUAGAGUGAGGUUAAUUUUGGGUUUAUUAUUGUUGAAUAGAUAAGUUUAUUUUGGCAGAGAAGAGAAAACGAGGAUAAACCUUUCUUGCAGAAGAAAAAGAUAAGCUAGGAAAUUGCUGACGUCUCAUAGAGACACAAUAUUGAACAAAAAACGGAUGGGACCACGAACGAAGCCAAAAACAAAGCUUGGAUCCAGUCACAAAUAGUUUUAAUGCGACAGGAACCCUUUACAGUUUCAGGUGGUGCGAGAAAUUGGAAAGACGUGUAAAAACAUCCUGCGCCCAGCCCACCUCAAAUUGAAUUGGUGCAGGAGGAUGAUGAUACUGUUUGGUACAUCAUAUGAGGACUAAUAUUAAAAUAUUUGUUUACUAUCUUUGUUUUAAUUUACAUAAUUUAUUAUGUUCAAUGUUAGCCUACUUCUUACCUCCAGAGGGUAUCCCCUAUCACCUAGGAGAUAGGCUCCUCCAUAUUCACCAUUUUCGAAUCAUUGGUAUCUACUGCAGUUUUGGUAUUUAAGGCCUAUUCAAACCUGAGCGAUAUUCGCUGCCGCUGUGGGUAGAGGUAGAUACCGCGCCGGUUUCGCUCAGGUAUUUAGUAUCAAGUAUAGUUACCGGCACGGAUAUUGAGCUCUCGGCGGAAGAGUGGGGAUCGCUUUGCGCACUGUACACAAGGCAAUAAACCAAUAAAUGGCUCCUGCGCAGGUGAAGGUCAGGGCUCAAUAUCCGUGCCGAUAACUAUACCGCGACUAGAGCGACCUGAGCGAUAUCCACUGCCGCUGUGGGUAGAAGUACAUACCGCGCGGCAGCAGCGGCAUGCAUCCCGAACAUCAACAGUAAUAUUAACGCAUACCCACUGGGUUUUCUCUGUCGCAGGUGGUAGCGAAUACCGCUUAGGUCUGAACAGUCAUAUUACCGCAUACCCACAGGGUUUUCUCUGCCGUAGACGGUAGCGAAUACCGCUUAGGUCUGAAUAGGCCUAUAGUUGUCCCGGCCACCGCGAAACUACAUCAGUGAUUACCAGAUUUGCAUCUGUUAUGGUCUGUAUAUUUAUGGACAUGCAGGACUUCCUAUUUUUGAAUAAUUCAGCGACAUCACGACCUAGCAAGUGCAUUCAUAGCAAGUGAUAACCUAUAAUCUUAUAAGAAAGUCAUGAUCAUCGUACUUUUUUCUCAGACAUCUGCUCUUUCACGUAAGAUGGGUACGUGGUCUUCUAAUGAUUAUUAUUUUACAUAUCCACAACCGCCACAGCUUCUAAACUUUCUAAAAGUUUACGUUUCAUUUUUUUUUUGCUUUUUAAACAUGGUAUUUUUGGUGUUACAUAACAUAUAAAGGUACAUUUCACUAUCCAUCGCCAGAAACGGUUCAAAAUAUGUUUGUAUUCUGUAAUGAUAAUGAUAGGGGUUGUUUAAGCAGGCAUCAAUCGGGCUCCCAAGUUUAAGUGAAAUUUUUAGGUUAAAAUUGACACCUAGGCUUUGGUGAAAAUGAAAUUCUUAUUAAGUGUUUCGUAAAUGCUCCCUAAAUUUAGGUUUUCGUUGGUGAAAACGGGCAUAAUUCGUUAAGGGUUAAUUUUUCUAGAGAAUUAGUUGAAACUGAACCAAUCUAUUACAUCUCGUCUCCGAUUUAACGAAAAUUUAAUAAAUAAUAAUUAUUUUACGUUUAAAUUUAAUAAUUUCGAAAAAAAAAUACAAUACUGUGUUAAUUAAUUUAUAUACAAGCAAGAGAUAAAAAGCCGUGGUUCUAAAUUUAAGUAUUUUUCUUUUUUUAUUUACUUUUCAAAAAAGGAAUUAUGUCUCUCGGCGUUUACGCGCGAUCCUAAUUUUGAAGUUGUCAAAAUGUAUGUGAUCCGUUCGUGUUUGUGUGCGUGUGUAGUGAGAGCGGCGGUGCGUUUGUGUGAGUGCCACGGGGAAGUUACCCGACUUGAAAUAAAGGGGGGAUGAGAAAGAUAUUGAGGUUGCGAUGUGGUACGGUCAUUUUUCUCGAUAUUGUAGACGCUAGAUCAAUUAAGCCUACUUUGCCCUAUUUUUGGACACUUUUGCCCGAUACUCGGACAGUUUUGCCCGUCGUUUGGUCAAUUUUGCCCGAUGUUUGGUCAAUUUUGCCCGAUAGUUGGACAGUUUUGCCCGAUGUUUGGACAGUUUUGCCCAAUGUUUGGUCAAUUUUGCCCGAUAGUUGGACAGUUUUGCCCGAUAUUUUUGACCUAACUAUAUCGCAAUUCUCAAAUCGCGACCAAUUUUCUACCGUCGCGUGGUAGUCACGCAGUCGCACCGCAAACGCUCAAAUGUAUGUUAAGAACAUAAGUUAGUGUAAUCCGUUUAAAAAGGACAAAAAAAAUAUAAAAAAUGGUGCAAUUUUAAAAUUCAAAAAAAUCCAGUUCAAAAUUUUAAUGGUUAAUAAAAGUAAUAUUUGGAGUAUUAUUCUAUGUGAACAGUUGUUUUUUUUUUAAUGAUGAUUUUGCAUUGCGACGGAAAGCGUUUCUUUCGUUUUGCGGGGCUUUCGUAAGCUAUACUCUAUCCACGGAAGCAAGAGCUAAAAGGUAAACAAAGAAUGACACUUUUUCAAGAUGGCGAUAUAACCCGACCGAUGACAAAAUCACAGAUACUGCGAACAUUUGACACAAAAAUGUGACGUUUUGUCAUCGGUCGGGUUAUACCGCCAUCUUGAAAAAGUUACCUUUUUACCUUUUAGCUCUUGCUUCCGUGGAUAGAGUAUAGUACUAACUUGCUGUACGAUUUAGCCCCAAAAACUUUUAAUAUCAGUCCCUCUUAUAGCUUUACUAAUGUUUUUGUUAUUAAUAUAUUUGAAAGGAACGUUUUCCGUCUACCCGAAGCUUUCCUUACUGUGAUUAUUCUUAUUAGAGGAAAAAAAAGUUCAAAAAAAAAAUAUUCCAUAUUUUUUACUAGCUCUUAAGAUAGCGAGAUCUGGGGUAGGACUGCGGUCUAAGGUUAAAUAUUAAAUAGUAUUAAAUUUAUUUAGGAUAAAAUUGGCGAGCUUUAAUAACGAAUGGGUGAGGUUUUUGUUGGCCCACAGUUGCCCAACAGCUGUGCGACAGUUGCCCAACUGUUGCGCCGCAGUUGCUCCCCAAAUGUCGCUUUCAAUUUCUAAUUGUAAGAAUCGAGUCACAUAAAAGUGAGUGAAUGUAUCUAAAUGAGGAAAAAAAGUGAAAAAAAAUAAAUAUCCACCGAAGUUUUCUUUUGUAAGUACAUCUUAUUAUCUAUAAUUUUAAGUAUUAAAGUUAUUGUAAAAAAAUAAUUUUUAAUUAUAAAUAAUAUAUUUCCAUUCGCGACAAGCUCUUGACAAGAGUUAAAACAAAAAAAAAACUUAUUGGCAUUAUUAUUUCUAUUUUUCAAUUACUUUUUAUUAUUUUCAGUAGUAGUAAUCAAUUUUCUUAAUAUCGUAUGGUAGUUUAUAAACGUAUAAAUGACAAAAAAAAUACAAAUUUACGAAAAAAAUUGUAAAAAAAAUAUGAUCUCAGUUUGUAGUUUUCUUUGCAAAAAAACGUGGAAUUUUCAGUGAAAAAACAGCUCAUUUCAGGAUUGUAUGCGUAUGACAUACUUUCCAUGCGUUUCGAAUCACAAUUUUUUUAUUAUUUUAUAUUUUUAUAAGUCUCGGAAAAUGUGUCAACGGUGCACUGGUCCAUUUCACCCCGUGGUUAAAGCUAAGUAUAUUUUUAAAAUAUUUUUUCUUACGCAUACAGUUCCUUGAAAAUACAUUAAUAUAAUCGCCUUGAAUUUUAGGAAGCAAUGUACAUUUACACUCUGUGAUAACAUCAAAAUGCUAAAAGUAUGUCAUUUGAAACUAGAAAAUUUGAAUAAAUUCGCUUCUAGAUAAAAAAUCUAGAUCAUUCUAACAUUUUUCAGAUUUUCGCAAUGUACAAGUGACUUAUUUUUUUCAAUUUUGAUAAUAAAUGUAUAAAAAAAAGAUGUGAUCGAUAAAUUUUUGACAUCUCGAAAAUAAUAUUUUAAGAUCGAGUUUUUUAUAAAAGGUUAUAAGAUCGGAACUUUUUAUAAAUUUAAUUUAGUACUGAAUUUAAAAUGUGUUCGAUGCUAAAUAGUCGAAUUGUACAGUCUAAUAUAAGAUGCCAAGUUUUUUUUAAAUGUAAAAAUAGAAGUUAAAUCUCAACGCACAAUCCUUGUAAAUAUCUUUAAAAAAGCUUUAUAAAUAACUCAUUUAAGCAGCUAUAUUUAAUAUUAUUUUCUAAGGUGACAAUGUAAAUACUUAACCAGUGUCGAAGUUACGAUCCAAAAUGGCGGAUGACGCCAUGAAUUUUAAAUUCAGUACUGAACGGAGUGUUUUUGUAAUGCUACUGCUCCACCUGCGUCUUAACGCGUUAAAUUUUGGCAUUACGCAGAUGUGGCCAACGUUUUAAUGGCAAUUUAUACUAAUGGCAAUAUAAAUAGCAUUAAACGUUAAGCGAUAACUCGGGUGUCGGUUUUUUGGACGCAUCAAAGGGUUUUAGUGCGUAGCUUAUAGCGCUAAGUGAUGUUGGCUACAUUAAUGCCAUCUCAUUGCACGCAUGCAAGGACGAGUGUAGAUACUUUGUUUAAGUUGUAACUGCAUUUUACGAGCACGGUAAUGGAAUGGUCAAAUGAGAAAGCUUUAGUUUUUAGAAUUAUUUUGUGUGUCUGAGUUUAAUCUCUUUAAUGUAUGUUAACGCGUUACUUCAUGAGGGAUUAACUCUUUGCGUAAGUGUAGCCAACACGCAUUUUUAAUGCUAUAAGUAACGCGUAGUUGGCCAUUGACAUUAACGUUAACGCUAACGCAGGUGUAGCAGGAGCAUAAAAAGAUGUUAAUUCUAGGCAACAGAAACACCAAUGUAUAGCUAUGUAUUGACUAUUUAUAAACGAUUUAAAACCCCGUAGGAAAAUACUAAAAGUCACAGUCUAAAUAAAUGUUCCUUCUCGAUUCUGUCGAAAACAUUGUACUACUAGAUGUUGUUAGACUGUGGCAUUAAAAUUUGUCAAUACAAUAGAAUCAGCAUUUAAUUGUAAAUUCUGGAUAAUUAUAUUCCCGUUAUAUAUGUGUGUGUGAAUGUGAUGUCAGUUUUGUAAAGAAAAUGUGCAUGAGUCAAAGUAAUCUCGAAAUAUGAGAAUAAACAAAUAAACAGUUGAAGACUCUA